rnacentral:rRNA from 1 species
UACGUAGGGGGCUAGCGUUGUUCGGAAUUACUGGGCGUAAAGCGCACGUAGGCGGAUAUUUAAGUCAGGGGUGAAAUCCCAGAGCUCAACUCUGGAACUGCCUUUGAUACUGGGUAUCUUGAGUAUGGAAGAGGUAAGUGGAAUUGCGAGUGUAGAGGUGAAAUUCGUAGAUAUUCGCAGGAACACCAGUGGCGAAGGCGGCUUACUGGUCCAUUACUGACGCUGAGGUGCGAAAGCGUGGGGAGCAAACAGG